rnacentral:rRNA from 1 species
AUGAGGAGGAAGACCACGCUCGUGCCGCUGCUCUGGUCGGGCGACGAGGAGGAAGACCACGCCCGCGCGCGUGGGGCUGGAGCUCGAUCCGUCGGCAGCGCGGACGGGGGAGCGGAGGAGGCUGCCCGCGGUGAGCACGCCAUGCUGCGGGAGGUGGCUGCGUACCUCCGGCCCGGCCGUGGCCAGCUGCAUCUCCGACUGCAGCACCGCCCUGGCUCCGCGGCUGCAUCUCCGUGGCCUCCGCGCCCGGUGUCGGGGCCGCCCGUGGCCUCCACGCCCGGUGCCUUCCCCGCGAGCUCUCCGCCUCCCUGCUCCAGCGCCCUCCCUCCCCGCGAGCUCCGGCACUCGCCCGUCGUGACGCCUCGCCCGUGCCCCAGCUCCGGCGCCCUGCUCACCGCGCCCGUCCCGUCCCGUGCGCGCCUGCUUCGGUGGAUGGGGGAUGGGGGGGUGUGA